CUCACUGAACAAUGAAUGGAA
rnacentral:miRNA from 1 species